CUCCAACACAGUAGGUGGCGGCAUGCACCUUUAACGUUGGUUUGCAGACCACCAUUAUAUCAUAGAAGAAGAAGAGCUCGCGAGAUCUGGAUGUAUUGUACGAGGCUAGUUGUGAACGGAAUACGACUUUGUAAUGCAGAGUAGAGCAGCUUUCAAGAUUCAAUUUACAAACUUGCGCUUUACAAUCAAAUACAUACUUCCAUAAUUGAUGUGUGCAGGACCGCUUGCCUCCGUUUAUUUAGCACAUGUUGGACCGCCUGCAAGCACAUUUGCACGCGCUUAUUUGACGCGUAUGGGGUUAAUUUAGCGUCUGCGCCUGCUUACUUUACACGCGUAGCAUUAAAAGGAUUGCGUUUUGACCACGUGCUUUAAAACCUAAUCCGGCGUUCCAUAAUAUUGAAGCAUGUCGAGGUAUCGUCCAGGCACAACGGACGACACAUUUGGAGGUGGAAGUUGAGUUGCCUGCUAAUCAACAUUAGCUAUAUUGAGAGCUGUCAAGCUAGCUAGUACCUGUCUGCUACACUGGACACAAGGGACUGUGGACAAGUGGCAUUACCGCCAGCUACAUCCUAUUAUUUUGCACUCAGUUGUUACCAUGUGGCCCUGCAUAACAAUAUUUACGCCGUUUCUAUUGAAAUUAAGAAGCGGGUAUGCUUUCUCCAAGGACAUUCAGCCAACGUUAGUGUUACCAAGCAAACUGAUCUUCAGACCCAGUGUAUCAUGUACAGGGGCGGGGAAGAAAUGGACUCGACCAACAGGAUACUACAUGGGGUUGAAGACCUACAACAGCCUCCCACAACCAGAAAGAUCCACUGGUAUUGGCUCAGGAAGGAAUUGCUACUUGCUCCUAUGUCAGAUUUGACAUCAUCCAGAUGGUUCUAUCCAGGGUCUUUGGCAUUAAUGUCAUCCAUGUCAUGGUCAUCAGACAUCGAUGAUAAAAUCAUCAGAAGAGCUUUGGAGAAAAGCAUAUCUCCAACAGUCCUGGCCAGAUUGUAUGAGGAGGAAUUUGACAUGACAUGUUAGCCGUGAAGGUUCUUCCUCCUGCUGUGCACUUGAGGGUCACUGAGAAUAUACCUCAAAUCGUGGCUUUCAUCGAGGGCAUCAUCAGAAAUGAACACGCCUAUGCCACAAAACAAGGGAUGUGUAUUUCGGUAUCAGGUCCAUCGGGGUCCGUUACGGCAAGCUUAUGGGUGCUGGAGAUGCAGCUGGUGAGCCUGGGGACACAGAGAAACGGAACAGCAGGGAUGUUGCCCUGUUCCAAGCCGCAGGAGCCCUCCUGGAAGUCUCCCUGGGGCAAGAGAAGACCCGGCUGCCACAUCGAAUGCUCCACCAUAGCCAGGACUUCCUAGAAUCUUACUCAGCCAAUGAAUUCUGAAUGUUCUGCCUGCUGACCAAAUACAGAUCAGCAAUCAACUACAGUGACGCCAGCUUGAACGAAGCCCGGAGCUCCCUGGCAACCAAUUACUGCCUUCACCCAUGAUGCCCAGGUCUACAUGAGGGGCCAGCUGCAAUGCCAGGCUGUGCAAGAGGGGGCUUUAUGGGAAAGGUUAGCUGAAACCAAAGCAAACAUUGUCAGAUGACUUUGAUACGCCAAGGGUCGUCAACGCCAUCAUGAGCCUUGUUUACCAUGGGAACCGCCAUCUUCAGCCCAUCACUAAGGUAACCUGUCAAGAUGAGAACCAUGACAAACAUAGCGUACCCCUCUGAGGAACAGGUUCAGGCUAAGAAAGUCAACAUCUCAACACAACUAACCUGAAUAAGAUGUAACAUCACAAGUCAUACCUUCACAGAUUGCAUUGAAUUGUUACAAAGAUGACACAAUUUAUCAUGUAGAUUUUCCUGUGUUUCAUAAGGGGAUGGCUUGUACUCUAUGGUGUACCCUGCCUUUUUCCAGUGCAACAUAUGAUUGUGUACAUGGUGUGUCUGCACCAUUUUAAUGGUAAAUGUCCAUAAACUGAUUUUUUUUUUUGCUGGUUAAUUAAAAUGGCACCAAUUAUGGGCUUAACGUCAGGUUAAUUAUAACAAUUUUAUGUUACAUUUGACAUUUUAGCAGACACUUUUAUCCAGAGCAUACGUUUCUUAAACGGAAGUAAACGAGAUGGACCGACCUGCAAUAGAAACUCUUGUUUUGGUUGCAAAACUGAACAACUGUUUGGAAUAAUGAUUACACCCUAGAUCCGCUAGAUGCAGGCAAGAGUUUGCAAGGCGGUAUUGAAUGUGUCACUGCCACCUUUGUCUCUAAACCUCCUGUGCACCUACGUUAAUACGUUAUAAACUUAUAUAUGUAUGUUAGGUUGUAGCAACCUCAUGAUGGGUAUAGGGCAAAUUCGAGUAUCAUGUUGAUCGAUGUUACAUUAAGCUGGGUGAAUAGAAUAUGAAGCACUGGAUUACCUCUUUCAUUUCGCAUUUAAUAGUCAGAUUUCCUUUAGGCAAGUAAUAUUUGAAUACAUUUUUUUUUUUUCAUUUUUACAUUUCCUCAAGUAAACCAUAGGAUAAAACUAAUCCAAGAAGUUGAACACUUGGAUACUUUAUGCCAUCUAGUGUCUCUAAAAAUACAUGUAGCUCUCUUAAUAACAACAGACACAGGUUGGUUCCUUGAAACGGGCGUUUAUUGCCUCGCACGUCUUUUUCUCCGAUGCAUCCACGUCAUGCCGUGAGAACUAUAUGUUUGAAUGAACACAGUAACGUUGAUAAAUUAUACAGUACUGAAACAAAGGAAUGCAAAUGGCGCUCGGCGCAACAAUGCAAAUGGCGCUCGGCGCGACUAUAAACAAAGUUUUAUAGGCAGAGGCUAAGAAAGACAGUAAAGGGACUUUCAAGGGACUUUAAGGAUUCAAGAACCUCUUUUCAGGACAAGCAGCCAACUUGUAGACUUGUCAGUUUCCACGUCAAACACAGAAGACCAAUGCAACCACGUCAUAAUGGUACAGAAAGAGAGACCUGUCAAACACAGAAGACCAAUGCAACCACGUCAUAAUGGUACAGAAAGAGAGACCUGUCAGUUGUUGACCUUGUAGACAUUGUGGACAGCCGCAAACUGACAUUCUCUUUGUUUGUGUUGAGGUCUUGGGCCACUUCAUCUAGGAUGAAAGUCGUAUCGCUUUGCGUGUCUAAGAGCGCGUAGACGAGAACUUCUUGAUCUGGCUGUUUUGUGGACGAGACCCAGACUCGUAUGAUUGAGGACGUUUGUGUGCUUAGGCCUUCUUGUAUGACUCUGUUGGUAAUUGCUGCUGCAGCUAUUUCUUUGGUGUCUGCUCUGUGCUUUGAGUAGUCGUCUACCUUUGGAGGUGUCGACCUUUGAUGUUCCUUGAACUUGUCAUCAUGCAAACAUGUCAGGUGUCUCUUCUGACAUCUUUCACACGUACUCUUGUUAUCACACGUUCUUGAGUGAUGACCAGUCUUCAAACAUCCAAAGCAAAGCUUUUCUGCUUGCACAAACUUGACACGAUCUUGAACUCUGUUCACUGAACUUUCUGCACUUGAAGAGGACAUGUCCUGUUCUUUUGCAAAAAAUGCAUGAUGGGAUGUUGCUCUGUGUUGUUUGUGGACAGUGUCUUUGCUUGAAUGGUUUGACUUCGUGGAUGCUUUGGUUUCUCGCUUUCCACACUCUUGAGCGCUUGUAUUGAGGAUAUAGGAUUGCAAGCGAGAUCUGCUUCCUUUGAUAGAAAGUCUAUAAACACCUUGAAUGGUGGGUACCCAGCGUUUGCUUGUCUGACUUCCAUCGUUUUGCGGUUCCAACUGGAUACCAGCCAAUCUGGCAACUUCAGCAGAAUCUUUUGACUCUCAUUGCAGUCAUUGAGAACUUCCAAUGUCUUAAUGUGGGGCAUUGCAGCCUCGCAGCUCUUGAGGAAGUCUGCAAAGUCUCUUAGUUCACAACCAUCCUUAGAGCUUAUCUUUGGCCAUCCAUGCAGCUUGUCUCUGAAGGACUUCCCAAUUAUGAAUGGGUCUCUGAAACGUUUUUGCAACAGCUGCCAGGCUGAGUCGUAUGCUGCUUCAGUGCCAAGUAGGAAAAAUCCUUCAACAGCUUUCUUUGCGGCACCACCUAAGUACUUUCUUAGGUAAUACAGUUUUUCAUUCUUUGAAAUGUUUUUCCCGUCUAUUAAUGUUUCGAAAGAUAGCUUCCAGUCUUUGAAUUUCAAAGGAUCUCCAGUGAAUAAUGCAGGCUCUGGUGUGGGAGACGAUUGGCACUUAUAGCUUCUGCUAGCAUGUUGACCAGAUCAGAGCUGUUCUGCACUUGAUGCAUGGACACUGAAGUUGGUGGAGCUUGAGGUACCAAUGGUGGAUUUUGGGAGCUUGACUUGUAACUGGUAGAGGUUGAGGAAUGAAUGAGGGACUUGAGGCAUAGAGGGCUUGCGUUGUGACUGGUAGAGAUUGAGGGCGGUCUGGAGGAACUGUGAGGUUAAGAACUUGAAGUUCUCCUGCUGGUUCAACAUCAUGCAGGAAGUCGGUGGUCUCAAUUGUCUUCGACUUGAUCGUAGACCUUUACUCGAGCUCUUGCAGCGUUCAACUUCUUCACUUCCUCUAGACGUUUAAGCUUUCUACGCUUGUCUUGCAUUGCCUGUUGUCUGGCUAGGUUCUCAGAUUCAAAUUGUGUCAGCCGCUGUUUUCCUUUAGCCUCUAGCCUUUGAAGUUCUAUCGCUUCCCUUUCUUGUUCAUCCAACACUGCCAAAAUCUCAUUGGAUGCGGCAGCUUCAGCUGCAGUCUCAUUUCUUUUGACUGAGUGGAUGCUAGAGUGGAUAGAACCACAUUUUGAUCCACGAGACGGUGGCCUCGAUAGAGAACCCGCAGAGUACCCGCAAAACACCAGUCUCAACAUCAACAGUGAAGAGGCGACUCCGGGAUGCUGGCCUUCUAGGCAGAGUUGCAAAGAAAAAGCCGUAUCUCAGACUGGCCAAUAAAAAGAAAAGA